CUGAUAUUUAAGCACGAAAAUAUAGUAUAACAAGGCACAUUCUGUUUAUAAGUUACAUCACAGAGGACAAACUACCACUCUUCAGGGGAAGAAGUCUUUCUUGAUUCCUAUCCCACCCUAUCCUCCAUUCAGAAAGUUACCUUUAUUCAUUAUUUAUUUAUUUAUUUAUUGCUCCCUGAUUCCUGCUGUUCUGAGAAGAAGAAGCAGUAGAAGAAAAAGUCUGCACAGUCCCCUAAACCCUUUAUAGACUUGAACAUUCUAAUGCACUACCUUGAUAUUGCCAUUAAGGAGAAGCAAAAUAAGGAAAGAAAUCCAAGGAAUUCCUUUGUUUAGCAGAUUUAGUAAAGGAAAGAAAGUGUAGCAUGCUCCCUGAUGCGGUUCACAGCAAACUCCAGUUACACUGACACUGCUUAUCAUCUAUAGCUAGACAGGCACCAUUUAAACUUACACUUCAAUUCCAUUACCUCCAUGUCAGAUGAUGAUGUAAUUAAUGAAAUGGAAAAAAUGAAAAACCUCCCAAAGAAUUAUCAAAUUAAAAAUUUCAAAGAAAGGAACAUGUCAAGUGUUAAGAUUCAAGAAUAUACAAUUUUCAAAACAAAAAAAAAGACAUUCAAGAAUAUACAAAUUAAGUCAUAAUUGAUGCUACAUUCUUAAGUCUUAUGAAAGAAAUCUUUCUACCAAUCCGUGAAUGAAAAGUAACCAUAAAAAAGAUUACCCUUGAGAAAUCUACAUCAGAACAUAAAUGGUGGAUAACUAGCUAUGAACAUGGAAUUGAUCCAAUACAAACAACAAGAACUAUCUCAUGUCCUAACAAUAAACACAAAAUUAUGAGAACAAGCAUCGGUUAUCAUCCAUGCAUACUUCAAAUCCAGAAACUGGCAAAAAGUAAGACAAAGACAAAC
rnacentral:lncRNA from 1 species